rnacentral:misc_RNA from 1 species
UGACUCGCGGUAACAGGCU